rnacentral:rRNA from 1 species
AUACGUAGGGGGCGAGCGUUGUCCGGAACGAUUGGGCGUAAAGGGCGCGUAGGCGGCCCGGUAAGUCUGGAGUGAAAGUCCUGUUUUUAAGAUGGGAAUUGCUUUGGAUACUGUCGGGCUUGAGUGCAGGAGAGGUAAGUGGAAUUCCCAGUGUAGCGGUGAAAUGCGUAGAGAUUGGGAGGAACACCAGUGGCGAAGGCGACUUACUGGACUGUAACUGACGCUGAGGCGCGAAAGUGUGGGGAGCAAACAGGAUUAGAUACCCUGGUAGUCCACACCGUAAACGAUGAAUGCUAGGUGUAGGGGGUAUCGACCCCUUCUGUGCCGCAGUCAACACAAUAAGCAUUCCGCCUGGGGAGUACGGCCGCAAGGUUGAAACUCAAAGGAAUUGACGGGG